rnacentral:rRNA from 1 species
UACAUGGGGUGCAAACGUUGCUCGGAAUCAUUGGGCGUAAAGCGCGCGUAGGCGGUUGCUUAAGUCGGAUGUGAAAGCCCUCGGCUUAACUGAGGAAGUGCAUCCGAAACUGAGCAGCUAGAGUACGAAAGAGGGUCGCGGAAUUCCCGGUGUAGAGGUGAAAUUCGUAGAUAUUCGCAAGAACACCAGUGGCGAAGGCGGCUUACUGGUCCGGAACUGACGCUGAGGUGCGAAAAGCGUGGGGAGCAAACAGG